GGGCACAUGGUGUAGUGGUUAUCACUCAUGCUUUGCAUUUUUCGCAACUGUAUGCGGUCCUGGGUUCAAUCCCCAGUGUGUCCA